GCUCAAACACAUUGUGUAUAUAUUGACAAAAGAAUGAGGAGUGGAAGGUGGAUACCUUCAAGUGAGGUAGAUGAGACCUUCCAAUACAUUAGUCAACGUGAAAUGUUAUUUCACAAUCGAUCCACAAUAUGUUGCAAAUUCGUGGUCAACCAAAACCCUAUUGAGGUAAGCUAGGCCUAUUUGGCAUAAUUUCGAAUUGAAUUGGCUCUGAGGCCCAGUGAUGGACUACCAAAUGCUCAGUUAACAUGAAAUGACACGUCACAAUCGAUUCAAAAUUUGUUGCAAAUUCGUGGUCGACUACAACCCUGUUGAGGUAAGCUAGGCCUAUUUGGCAUAGUUUCGGCUCUAAGGCCUAAUGAUGGACCAUCAAAUGCUUAGUCAGCUCUCGUGGAACCACGAUUAGUCAAGCAUAC
rnacentral:lncRNA from 1 species